UUCUCUCUCUUCCCUCGUGAUUGUCUCCAAAUCCCCCAAUUCUCUCUCUCUCUCCCCGUGUUUCCCUUACCCACUCUCUUUCCCCGUGUUUCCCUAUACCCACUCUCUGCCUUGUGUUUUCCCUAAACUUCUCUCUCUCGCCCCAUGAUUUAUCCCCAAUCCCCCCAACUCUCUUUCUCCCUCUAUUUUCCCGUACCCACUUUUCCUCCCCUGUAUUUUUCUAAACUAAAGAAGCCACAUCUUUCUCUCUCUACAACCCAGUCAUGACAGUAAUCCAAAUAAUAAACACUACCCUCUCUCUGAUUUUCAAUAGCUUCGCUUCCCCAUUGUAGGAAACCAAAAGUCUCUCUGAUCUUCAAUAGCUUUAUGCAACCUAGCCCAAUAUCUCGAUCACAAUAAUCAAAAUAAAAAGCACUACUCUCUUUUUGAUCUUCAAUAGCUUUGCUUCUCCAUUGCAGGAAACCAAAAGUCUUUCUGAUCAGUUUUUAGUAUUGCAGAAAACCAGAAGCCUGACUUUCUAAACAACCCUCAUUGCUGCAAACCAAACAUGUCCACUUGAUCACUGCAAACCAAAAACUCCUCGUCUUCUUUAACUUUUCUAUCAAGAACUGUAGCAAUGGCUUCCAAUGGUGCAGAUGUGGCUUCAACCAGUCAACAUCAAAGCCUCAUCCUUCUCCAUCUCCCCUACGAAAUUUCGUAAAUUUUAGUGAUGGGUGGAGCUGGGAUCAUUGGCUCCCACUUAGACAGAGGCUUGUCGUUCUAAAAAGGGAAUAGCAAGGAAGCUUCUUAGGGAAGCUGCUAAGGUGACAUCUAAGAAAAGAAGUUGAUGAGAAUAGGUGUGCACAUUUGAUUGCAACUUUACAAGAAAAGGAAAAAUGAGCUCGCAUCUUGUCCAAUGCUUGUAAUGGCUUGUGAGAAAGCAGUGGAGACUUUGUCUAACAUGAACCACCUAGAUGAAAACUGCCCAUUGUAUUUGUAUCCUUUGGUUACUGAAGUUAGAGAAGAACAUUAUGUUCCCUUUAUGAAGCUGAUGUCUUGGUAUCACUGCUUUCACAGUCAAUGCAUUAUUAGGUCGUGGAAGUGGCUCCAAGAGGAAAACAGAACCAGAACCUUGUCAAGUUACUUCUCAACAACAUCUUCGCCUCUUUCUAUAGAUUUGGAGGGAGAGGGAAAUGCUUCAAGAGAAGCUCAGAACCACUUGCAGCUGAAACUCACAAUGUGGGGAGAUAAUGAAGAAUAGAGCUCAAAGAGCCGUGCUUAUGAGCUCUAAGCUUAAUAGGCCUGGGUCAAGUGUGGAUACUGGAUUCAUGAAUACUGCAAACUCUAAUGAGAGAAUGAACAGAGCUCAUAGAGCCCAUAAGUGGAACCCGAAGAUGAAUGGAAAACUGGAUAAUAAAGGAAUUGAAUUCCAUUGAGUGAAUUCAAUGAAUAUUUUCCUUGGCUAUCAUCGAAAUCAAAUGGCAUCACCCAUACAUGUUUCUUUUUACUUCAUGUCUUUUCAACUUUGGUGGCAAUCAUUUGAUUCAUUUGAUCUUUUAAUUAAUACGAUCUAUGUAAUCCAUUGUUUCCAAGACAGUAUCGACAAGAGUCAUAGUGAUUAGUUGGAAUAAUAUUCAGUCUCCAUUAAACGAA